rnacentral:rRNA from 1 species
UAGGGAAUCUUCCGCAAUGGGCGAAAGCCUGACGGAGCAACGCCGCGUGAGUGAAGAAGGAUUUCGGUUCGUAAAGCUCUGUUGUUAGGGAAGAAUGAUUGUGUAGUAACUAUACACAGUAGAGACGGUACCUAACCAGAAAGCCACGGCUAACUACGUGCCAGCAGCCGCGGUAAUACGUAGGUGGCAAGCGUUGUCCGGAAUUAUUGGGCGUAAAGCGCGCGCAGGUGGUUUAAUAAGUCUGAUGUGAAAGCCCACGGCUCAACCGUGGAGGGUCAUUGGAAACUGUUAAACUUGAGUGCAGGAGAGAAAAGUGGAAUUCCUAGUGUAGCGGUGAAAUGCGUAGAGAUUAGGAGGAGCACCAGUGGCGAAGGCGGCUUUUUGGCCUGUAACUGACACUGAGGCGCGAAAGCGUGGGGAGCAAACAGGAUUAGAUACCCUGGUAGUCCACGCCGUAAACGAUGAGUGCUAAGUGUUGGUCUCAUAAGAGAUCAGUGCUGCAGCUAACGCAUUAAGCACUCCGCCUGGGGAGUACGACCGCAAGGUUG